AGGUUCGAUCCUGUAGCUCCAGAUUAGACGCUGGCGGGAUGCUUUACACAUGCAAGUCGAACGGCGGCACGGACUUCGGUCUGGUGGCGAGUGGCGAACGGGUGAGUAAUGUAUCGGAACGUGCCUAGUAGCGGGGAUAACUUCCGCGAAAGCGUAGCUAAUACCGCAUACGCCCUUCGGGGAAAGCGGGGGUUGCCGGGCCUCGCACUAUUAGAGCAGCCGAUAUCGGAUUAGCUAGUUGGUGGGGUAACGGCUCGCAAGGCGACGAUCCGUAGCUGGUUUGGAGACGACCAGCCACACUGGGACUGAAGUACGGCCCAGACUCCUACAGGAGGCAGCAGUGGGGAAUUUUGGACAAUGGAAACCUGAUCCAGCCAUCCCGCGUGUGCGAUGAAGGCCUUCGGGUUGUAAAGCACUUUUGGCAGAAAGAAACGGCCUGGGAUAAUACCCCGUGCAACUGACGGUACCUGCAGAGUAAGCACCGGCUAACUACGUGCCAGCAGCCGCGGUAAUACGUAGGGUGCAAGCGUUAAUCGGAAUUACUGGGCGUAAAGCGUGCGCAGGCGGUUCGGAAGAAAGAUGUGAAAUCCCAGAGCUUAACUUUGGAACUGCAUUUUUUUAACUACCGAGCUAGAGAGUGUGUGGAAGAGGAGGUGAAUUAUGCAAUGUGGUGAAAUGCGUAGAUGCGGAGGAACACCGAUGGCGAAGGCAGCCUCCUGGGAUAACACUGACGCUCAUGCGAAAGCGUGGGGAGCAAACAGGAUUAUACCCUGGUAGUCCACGCCCUAAACGAUGUCAACUAACUGUUGUUGGGGCCUUCGGGCCUUGGUAGCGCUAACGCGUGAAGUUGACCGCCUGGGAAAAUUACGGUCGCAAGAUUCUAAAACUCAAAGGAAUUGAUAGCGAGGACCCGCUGCAAGCGGUGGAUGAUGUGGAUUAAUUCGAUGCAACGCGAAAAACCUUACCUACCCCUUGACAUGUCUGGAAUCCCGAAGAGAUUUGGGAGUGCUCGCAAAAGAGAACCGGAACACAGGUGCUGCAUGGCUGUCGUCAGCUCACGUGUCGUGAGAUGUUGGGUUAAGUCCCACAACGAGCGCAACCCUUGUCAUUAGUUGCUACGAAGGGCACUCUAAUGAGACUGCCGGUGACAAACCGGAGGAAGGUGGGGAUGACGUCAAGUCCUCAUGGCCCUUAUGGGUAGGGCUUCACACGUCAUACAAUGGUCGGGACAGAGGGUCGCCAACCCGCGAAGGAGCGCCAAUCCCAGAAACCCGAUCGUAGUCGGAUCGCAGUCUGCAACUCGACUGCGUGAAGUCAGAAUCGCUAGUAAUCGCGGAUCAGCAUGUCGCGGUGAAUACGUUCCCGGGUCUUGUACACACCGCCCGUCACACCAUGUGGUGGGUUUUACAGAAGUAGUUAGCCUAACCGUAAGGAGGCGAUUACCACGUCGGAUUCGCGGCUAGGGUGAAGUCGUAACAAGGUAG
rnacentral:rRNA from 1 species